UGGGAAGAUGUGACAAGAUGGGUACACAGCCCCCAAACAGAAAUUCUUCACCCAGUUCAGCAGGAAGCAAUUAUCAGAAGACCGUCGUCCCAAGCCCUUAAGUUGAGUGUGUGACGGCCAGCGAGUCUGCUUGUGAGAAAAGGAGAUACUUACCACACAAGCCCAGCGCUGUGUCAGCCUUUCCAUUCUCGAGUUGUAUGUGGAACGCCUCAUGGGUGCGCGCCAGGGAAGCAUGGGAGUACAGCAAGGUGUAAGUAAGCAAGCUCAAGAGAAGCUCGGUCAGGUCUGCGAGUGAGCAAGCAGGAGGCCCGACAGCCUCCAGGAACCCCCCCCCCCACGCUCCCACCCCCGCUUUCUUCUAACGGGGCUUGCUUUACUCUCACCAAGGACAGAAUGUAUUCUGGAAAACUCAGCCAAGGAACCUCGUGUUCGUUUUAUUCACGUGCCUUCCCCAUAAAGGCGGGCCACUCACAGUGAGAGUAACACAGACAGCGAAGACACUGGCUCCUUUCAGUCUUUCCCUACUCCUCAUUAGGCGUAGUCAGAAAGCACCCGUGGAGUAUGUCUCAUUGAAACGUGAAACACAUGCAGUACUGUGCUGUGUUUUCCCAGGUCUGCUUAAAAGCAAAAUGCAUGCACGUGUGUGGGACACAAACCACAAACCAUGAUUUGAUUUGGGUAAUUCUGAAAUCUGAAUAGAAUUUGAACGG
rnacentral:lncRNA from 1 species